CUGACGGCGUACCUUUUGUAUAAUGGGUCAGCGACUUAUAUUCUGUAGCAAGGUUAAGCAUUUUGUGGAGCCGUAGGGAAACCGAGUCUUAAUAGGGCGUUCAGUUGCAGGGUAUAGACCCGAAACCCGGCGAUCUAUCCAUGAGCAGGUUGAAGAUCAGGUAACACUGAUUGGAGGACCGAACCCACUGUCUUUGAAAAGCCAGGGGAUGACUUGUGGAUCGGAGUGAAAGGCUAAUCAAGCCGGGAGAUAGCUGGUUCUCCUCGAAAUCUAUUUAGGUAGAGCGUCAUGUAUUACCCACGGGGGUAGAGCACUGUUAAGGCUAGGGGGUCAUCCCGACUUACCAACCCCAUGCAAACUCCGAAUACCAAAGAGAACUAUCCGGGAGACACACGGCGGGUGCUAACGUCCGUCGUGGAGAGGGAAACAACCCAGACCGCCAGCUAAGGUCCCAAAAUUAUUGCUAAGUGGGAAACGAUGUGGGAAGGCUAAGACAGCCAGGAGGUUGGCUUAGAAGCAGC
rnacentral:rRNA from 1 species